rnacentral:rRNA from 1 species
GGUUCGAUUCCGGAGAGGGAGCCUGAGAAACGGCUACCACAUCCAAGGAUGGCAGCAGGCGCGCAAAUUACCCAAUCCAGACAUUGGGAGGUAGUGACGAGAAAUACUGGGGGUGCUCUAUACGAGUACCAUCCGGAAUGAACGUAAUAUAAAAAAUUCGAUGAGGAUCUACUGGAGGGCAAGUCUGGUGCCAGCAGCCGCGGUAAUUCCAGCUCCAGUAGUGUAUAUCAACAUUGUUGUGCUUAAAACGCUCGUAGUUGGAUUACAGAGCAUCAAACAGACUGGCACGCAAUUAAGCGGUCGGUUUGGUCCGGUCGAAAGACUGGGUGAUGCUUUUUUGUCGCACUGGUUGUGAUUGUUGUCUUUGUUGGCAGUGGUCAAUGACUGGUGGAGUGUGCCUUGAAUAAAGCAUAGUGCUCAAAGCAGGCGAACGCUCGUAUGUAAUAGCAUGGAACGAAUAUAUUUGGACUGGAAUUAGAUACGUUGCGUACACGAGAGUGUAUGUGGUGGUUUAAUUUGUAGGCUUGAUCAGUGUUGGUUGAAGCUGCGGUCUCGAUGGUUAAAAGGGACACCUGAGGGCACUAGUACUUUGUGGCGAGAGGUGAAAUUCUUAGACCCACAAAAGACUAACUAUUGCGAAAGCAUUUGUCAAGAGUGUUUUCAUUAAUCAAGAACGAAGGUCAGAGGAUCGAAGACGAUCAGAUACCGUCCUAGUUUUGACAGCAAACUAUGCCAGCAUAGGGUUGUAACGGUCGCUACUUAACAGGUAGACGAAUCAUUGCGGGCCUUAAGGGAAACCUAGCUUUCGGGCUGCUGGGAGAAUAUCGCUGCAAGGCUGAAAUUUAAAGAAAUUGACGGAGAGGCACCACCAGGAGUGGAGCCUGCGGCUUAAUUUGACUCAACACGGGGAAACUCACCAGGUCCAGACAUUGGUAGGAUUGACAGACUGGUAGAUCUUUCAUGAUUCAGUGAAUGGUGGUGCAUGGCCGUUCUUAGUUGGUGGAGUGAUCUGUCAGGUUUAUUCCGGUAACGAGCGAGACCACGGCCUUUAGUUAAUGUGUCAGUCGUACAUGAAAAUUGUGCGUUGACUAGCUAGAGGGACUAUUGGUGUUUUAAACCAGGGGAAGCGUGGCAAUAACAGGUCUGUGAUGCCCUUCGAUGUCCUGGGCUGCACGCGCGCUACAAUGGCAGCAGUAGAGAGUAGAUACUGGCUAGAGAUGGUUGGUAAAACUGUAAAUGGCUGUCGUGAUUGGGAUUGAGCCUUGUAAUUAUUGCUCAUGAAAGAGGAAUUCCUCGUAAGCACGAGUCAACAGCUCGUGUUGAAUACGUCUCUGCCUCUUGUACACACCGCCCGUCGCUACUACCGAUUGAAUUGCUUCUAAAGCUGGCUGGACCGGACUCUGCUAGUAGAAAUAUUAUGUAUGAG